rnacentral:rRNA from 1 species
CCUACGGGGGGCUGCAGUGGGGAAUAUUGGACAAUGGGGGGAACCCUGAUCCAGCCAUGCCGCGUGUGUGAAGAAGGCCCUCGGGUUGUAAAGCACUUUCAGUGAGGAAGAACGCCUGGUGGUUAAUACCCAUCAGGAAAGACAUCACUCACAGAAGAAGCACCGGCUAACUCCGUGCCAGCAGCCGCGGUAAUACGGAGGGUGCGAGCGUUAAUCGGAAUUACUGGGCGUAAAGCGCGCGUAGGUGGCUUGAUAAGCCGGUUGUGAAAGCCCCGGGCUCAACCUGGGAACGGCAUCCGGAACUGUCAAGCUAGAGUGCAGGAGAGGAAUGUAGAAUUCCCGGUGUAGCGGUGAAAUGCGUAGAGAUCGGGAGGAAUACCAGUGGCGAAGGCGGCCUUCUGGACUGACACUGACGCUGAGGUGCGAAAGCGUGGGUAGCAAACAGGAUUAGAUACCCUAGUAGUC